rnacentral:rRNA from 1 species
ACUUUGAGUGCUUUUCGCUGGACGACGUCGACGAGGCCUUCGCCAAGUUUCACACGCUCCAGUACUCCCAAACCGCCAACCUCGCUGCCAAGGGCAAGAAGAUCGCCGUGACGCCAUUCAACGCGGGCCACCUUCUCGGAGGCACGGUGUGGCGCAUCAACGUCGACGGCGAGGACAUUCUCAAGGACGACGAACGUGGUUCUGGCCUUAAUUGACUGGGACACGGAGUCGGCAGCGUUACUUUGAGAAAAUUAGAGUGUUCAAAGCAGGCUUUCCGCCUUGAAUAUGUUAGCAUGGAAUAAUAACAUAGGACUUUAGUUCUAUUUGUUGGUUGUUCGAGAACUGGAGUAAUGAUUGAUAGGGACGGUUGGGGGCAUCCGUAUUCUCAAGCGAGAGGUGAAAUUCUUGGACCUUGGGAAGACGAACAGCUGCGAAAGCGUUUGCCUAGGACGUUCUCUUUAAUCAAGAACGAAAGUUGGGGGAUCGAAGACGAUCAGAUACCGUCGUAGUCUCAACUAUAAACUAUGCCAGCUAGGGAUCAGCGGGUCUUUUUACGAGUCCGUUGGCACCUUACGAGAAAUCAAAGCAUUUGGGUUCCGGGGGGAGUAUGGUCGCAAGGCUGAAACUUAAAGGAAUUGACGGAAGGGCACCACAAGUUGUGGAUCCUGUGGCUUAAUUUGACUCAACACGGGAAAACUUACCAGGUCCAGACAUAGUAAGGAUUGACAGAUUGACAGCUCUUUCUUGAUUCUAUGGGUGGUGGUGCAUGGCCGUUCUUAGUUGGUGGAGUGAUUUGUCUGGUUAAUUCCGUUAACGAACGAGACCAUUACCUGCUAAAUAGUCGGCCGGUCCUUUGGGAGCGAACUGACUUCUUAGAGGGACUAGCCAUCUAUUAAGUGGCUGGAAGUUAGUGGCAAUAACAGGUCUGUGAUGCCCUUAGAUGUUCUGGGCCGCGCACGGGCUACACUGACGGAGUAAAUGAGCCUUACUAUCAUGGUCCGGGAGGAUCGUGCAAUCUUGAAACUCCGUCGUGGUUGGAAUCGACGAUUGUAAUUAUUCGUCGUGAACGAGGAAUACCUAGUAAGCGUGCAUCAUUAAUGCACAGUGAAUACGUCCCUGCCCUUUGUACACACCGCCCGUCGCUCCUACCGAUUGGAUGAGCUGGUGAGUUAAUCGGACUGCGCCGUAUGUCGCCUCACGGCGGCUUUCGGCGCGGGAAACUUUGCAAACUAGACUAUCUAGAGGAAGGAGAAGUCGUAACAAGGUUUCCGUAGGUGAACCUGCGGAAG